rnacentral:rRNA from 1 species
CAUGCAAGUCGAACGAAUCCCUAGGGGCUUGCUCCUAGGGGGAAGUGGCGAAAGGGGCAGUAAGGCGUGGGUAACCUCCCUCGGGGACCGGGAUAGCCUUCCUAACGGAAGGGUAAUACCGGGCGAUGUAGCGACGGGGCAUCUUGUUGCUACGAGAUGAAUUUCGCCUCGAGACGGGCCCACGUGGUAUUAGCUAGUUGGUAGGGUGAUGGCCUACCAAGGCGAAGAUGCCUAGCGGGUGUGAGAGCACGACCCGCGCCACUGGCACUGCGACACUGGCCAGACUCCUACGGGAGGCUGCAGUCGAGGAUCUUCGGCAAUGGGCGCAAGCCUGACCGAGCGACGCCGCGUGCGCGAUGAAGGCCUUCGGGUUGUAAAGCGCUGUCGAGGGGGAGGAAGCCGAAAGGUUGACCUAUCCCUGGAGGAAGCACGGGCUAAGUUCGUGCCAGCAGCCGCGGUAAGACGAACCGUGCGAACGUUGUUCGGAAUCACUGGGCUUAAAGGGCGCGUAGGCGGCUUCCCAAGCCCGGGGUGAAAUCUUUCGGCUUAACCGGAAAAGGGCCUCGGGGACUGGGGGGCUAGAGGGAGGUAGGGGCAAGCGGAACUUCCGGUGGAGCGGUGAAAUGCGUUGAUAUCGGAAGGAACGCCGGCGGCGAAAGCGGCUUGCUGGACCUCAUCUGACGCUGAUGCGCGAAAGCUAGGGGAGCGAACGGGAUUAGAUACCCCGGUAGUCCUAGCCCUAAACGAUGGGUACUAGGUUGUGNGCCUGACAUGGGCUCCCAGCCGGAGCAAAAGUGCUAAGUACCCCGCCUGGGGAGUAUGGCCGCAAGGCUGAAACUCAAAGGAAUUGACGGGGGCUCACACAAGCGGUGGAGCAUGUGGCUUAAUUCGAGGCUACGCGAAGAACCUUAUCC